UGUUAUUAUUCUGUUCUCCUCUCCCCGCCUCAUCUCCACGCACGCUCCGAUGGCGGUGGCUCUUCGUCUCUCCAAGCCACCAUCUUCUUUCCCGACCCACCCUGUCGCUCCAUCUCUACUGUGCUAUUCGCAGUUGUUCUCCUCGCUGCAAAGGAGGACCGCUUCUCCGCUUCGCUGCCGCUGCUCCAAGAAGAAGGAGACCAGCUUCGCGGACCAACUCCUCGACUACAUAGAAGGUGGACCUAAGUUGAGGAAGUGGUAUGGAGCACCUGAUCUACUUCCAAAGGAUGGUGGUCUUGAGAAUGAGGAUGAAUCUUCAGAAAUCGAUGAAGUACGAGAUGCUGUGCUGGUAACUGAUGGUGAAAGUGAAAUUGGUCAGAUGGUAAUUCUAUCAUUGAUUCUUAAACGUGCUCGGAUAAAAGCACUAGUCAAGGAUAAGCGAGCUGCUAUCGAUGCUUUUGGAACUUAUGUUGAGACAAUGGUUGGAGAUUUAAAUGACAAGACCUUUCUGACAAAUGCUCUGAGAGGUGUUCGAGCAAUAAUUUGUGCAUCAAAUGAUGGCUUCUUCUCUGACAUAGGGCGAACAAAGGGUGCGCAGCACAUUGUUCUUCUAUCUCAGUUGGCAUUUUAUAGAGGCAGCAGCGGAAUUCAAGCAGUUAUGAAUAGCAAGGCCAGAAAACUGGCAGAGAGAGAUGAAGAAACCGUGAUUGCGUCUGGCAUCCCAUACACAAUAAUUAGAGCUGGCUUACUGCAAGAUAGUCCUGGUGGCAAGCAAGGAUUCAGCUUUUCAAAGGUUGUUUUUUAGGUCUCUCCAUCCAGUGACCGAAGAAAUAAAUGUAAUCAUCAGAUGGACCAUGAAGAAAAGAAAUGACAGAAUAUAGCCGUAAUUGUUCAAUAUGCAGCAUGCUAAUAAACUUGCACUUCCAUCAUAAAAAAAAAAAAAAGUACCUGGACUCUAUGGUGUAUAAUUUUGCAUUGAUUUCAGUGAUCAUGUUGAGACUUGCAUCCGGAACAUGUGAUCCAUGAGGCUGACUUCCCACAUAAUUUUUGAGAAAAUAACUCAUCCUCGCGCACAAGCAUAUGGUUUUGUAUUUUUGUGUUAGGGUGCUGCAGCAAAGGGAAGACUCAGCAAAGAGGAUGCAGCAGCCGUUUGUGUGGAGGCACUUGAUUCACUGCCAGAGGAAGGACUAAUUUUAGAGGUGGUAAACGGCGAGGAAAAGGUUCGAGA